rnacentral:misc_RNA from 1 species
UCCGGCUUGUCGCCGGCGGUCCCUCUAGAGUGCCCAACUGAAUGAUGGCAACUAAAGACGAGGGUUGCGCUCGUUGCGGGACUUAACCCAACAUCUCACGACACGAGCUGACGACAACCAUGCACCACCUGUGAACAGCCCUUACGGACCCGGCAUCUCUGCCGGAUUACUGCCCAUGUCAAGCCUAGGUAAGGUUCUUCGCGUUGCGUCGAAUUAAACCACAUGCUCCACCGCUUGUGCGGGCCCCCGUCAAUUCCUUUGAGUUUCAACCUUGCGGUCGUACUCCCCAGGCGGGGUACUUCCUGCGUUAGCGCCGGCACCCAGAGGGUCGCUCCCCCAGGCACCUAGUACCCAUCGUUUACGGCGUGGACUAC